rnacentral:rRNA from 1 species
AUUGAACGCUGGCGGCAGGCCUAACACAUGCAAGUCGAGCGGAUGAAGGGAGCUUGCUCCUGUAUUCAGUGGCGGACGGGUGAGUAAUGCCUAGGAAUCUGCCUUGUAGUGGGGGAUAACGUCCGUACACGGGCGCGAAUACCGCAUACGUCCUUAGGUUGAAACUGAGGGAUCUUCGGACCUCACGCUACCAGAUGAGCCUAGGUCGGAUUAGCUAGUUGGUGGGGUAAAGGCCUACCAAGGCGACGAUCCGUAACUGAUCUGAGAGGGUGAUCAGCCACACUGGAACUGAGACACGGUCCAGACUCCUACGGGAGGCAGCAGUAGGGAAUAUUCCGCAAUGGGCGAAAGCCUGAUGGAGCAAUGCCGCGUGAGUGAAGAAGGUCUUCGGAUCGUAAAGCUCUGUUAGUUGGGAAGAAGGUAUGUGUGUGUAACUGUUCAUAUCUUGACGGUACCAAAAGAGAAAGCAACGGCUAACUACGUG